UGAGAUCACUGACCAGCGUACUAUGAAAUUUUUACUUCAGUACUAAAUUUUAUAGCUGUCAAAAAUAUGUGUGUACAGUUAAUUUUAGUGAAAACACAAGAUAUGUUAAAAUUAAUAAAAUAUCAGUCAUGCUUAUUUUAUCACUUUGUAUGUGUAUAUUGUUAUAUGUAUAUAUAGAUAUUGCUUUUAAAUAAAUAAAUAAAAUGUUAAACAGUUAUAGGUUUUGUUCUUUUGGCACCGAAUCUUUUUCCUUGGCAUCUGUUUUGGCCAGCAGCAUGAAGCAGUAAUAUGGAGAUUUUGAAUCUACCAACUAUCACGUCACAGGAAGCUUGGUGUUGAGAAAUGAGAACGCAUCAUCCUUUUGUUACUUCAGUGUGACCAUGGGCUCCGGGCUCCUCUGUUGUGUAACCCUUUGUCUCUUGGGGGCAGGUUCUUUGGAUGCCAAAGUUACUCAGACCCCAAGACAUCUGGUCAAAGAGAAAGGACAAAGAGCAAAGAUGGAUUGUAACCCCAUACAAGGACAUGCUUAUGUUCAUUGGUAUCAACAAAACAAGAAGCAAGAGGUUAAGUUGUUGGUAUACUUUCAGAAUAGUCAACUUCUGAAAGAAACAGACAUAGCCAAGGGGCGAGUCUCAGCUACAUGUCCCUCCGAGUCCCCUUGCAACCUGGAAAUCCCAUCCUGUGACCUAGGAGAUACAGCCCUGUACCUGUGUGCCAGCAGCCAGGCCACAGCAUCACAGUGUUCCUUUCCCCCAGUGCACAAACCCAUCACACACUGACUCAGGAAGCCAGUGGUGUGCUUCACCGGUCGUGAUAGCAGUUAACUGGUGCUGGAGCAAGCCACAGGGAGUCUUCAUACAAGGCUGGAUGAUGUUUUAAGUCAUCUCCUUUCAUGUAGCUCUCAGGGUGAGAGUAAGAGUUUCAACAAAGAACAUCAAUCCCAUUGGCACGGGACCACUGUAUUCAUGAAGAGCAGACUGAUCUUUCUACCCCCUCGGUUUAAAACCUCAAUAGAAAGCCCAGAUGAGUAAUGAUCCAACCAUGGUCCUCAUGCAGCACUUGACUCUUACUGUGUACAUAAAAUUACAUUGAUGAGAGUAGAUUAUUGAUACAAUCUGCAUCUUAGAUUUUCCUCUUAAAGUGAGUGGAAAACUCCUGUGUCUGUUCAUGCAGUACUCCUUAUCCAGUUUCUCAGAGAACACACACACACACACACACUUUCCUCCAGUUCUUGUCAACACUAAAACACACAGUCCAUCAUGGAUCUGCAUAACCACUUUUUAGUGAUUUGAGACAAUGAUAGCUUUACAUAUCUAAAUACCACCACAGGUAUUUCAAAAUUAUAAGCCUGACGUAUCCCACACAAGGGCAUCAAGUUCCCCCCAUACCUGUGUC